AAAGAAUUAAGAUGCUUAGCAGUAAGAACUCUGCAUCGAAAAGAAUGCCUACACGUACAUUAGAGGGCUCAUGGAUAGCAUCAGAAGAGAGGAGAGAAGAACAAAAGGAAGAAAGAUUUGCUGGAAGGCAGUGUUUCCCCAGCACAGGCAGUCCCUUUGCAGCCUUUCAAGUUCGACAUACAAAUUUGCAUUCUACAAGAAUGUAGGACGGGAAGCAUGAGAAGGUGGUCAGGGUAAUUUCUAGUCCACGAGAUCUUAUACAAUGUUGUGAUAAGCUUGGCAAUCACUGGAUCAUUACACUAAUUGUUUGUCACUGUGCACAUGUGCAUAUAAUCAGCAGCCUUUAAUGGAAUACAUUACAUUAUUCCUGUGUCGGAUAUGGUGUGUCUCUAUCCAUCAAGAGGAUGAGUUAGAAAUGGCUAGAAAUGAAUGCAGGGAAGUGCCUAAGCCAGAAGCAGAGAUUCUAAUUAUUUCAUACAAAGUAUUUCACGUAUUUGCUAAAAUGAGUCAUCAUGGUACUACGGAUU